CCGGACAAGGUCUCGACCCGGACAGUCUUGAUUAACCAAUGAAGGAUCGAGUCUAGGAUGACGUCAGAGCUAUGACGUAUGAGGGAAGGCGGUCCUAACUAGACGCCAUUUGCAAACCUACCCGCCAACGCUUCGCUUGUAAACAAGAUCCUUCGUGCCUCGCAGCCAUGCCUCGCAACUACCAGCCCAAGAACAUCCUAACCACGGACUGGACCAACUUGGAGAAGGCCUUUAAUCACCGAGUUGAGACAGGCUGUAGUAUCCGCACUGCUAGCAACCUUUUUGGAGUGAAACCUUCGACUCUUGGGGAUGCUUUCACUCGGUCCCUCAAGGAGAGUGAUGGGAGGACGUUCGUGCCAAAGCAGCAGAACGUCAAGAAGGUUUUCACCGAUGCGCAGGAACUCUUAAUCGAGGAAUACUCGAUAAAGAUU